rnacentral:rRNA from 1 species
UACGUAGGGACCGAGCGUUGUCCGGAAUCAUUGGGCGUAAAGAGCGUGUAGGCGGCCACUUAAGUCCUGCGUGAAAUCUUGCGGCUCAACCGCAAGCGGUCGUGGGAAACUGGGUGGCUAGAGUGCGGGAGAGGAGAGUGGAAUUCCUGGUGUAGCGGUGGAAUGCGCAGAUAUCAGGAAGAACACCCGUGGCGAAGGCGGCUCUCUGGACCGAUACUGACGCUGAGGCGUGAAAGCGUGGGGAGCAAACAGG